AUGGAGCCGCUCCAGAGGCUGCUAGACUUAGCAGUCCAUGAUGGGCUGCUUUCCAAGUUAAAGGGGAGGAUUCCAAGCCUACGAACCUCUCUCUACGCGGAUGACGUUGCUCUCUUCUUAAACCAUAUCCACCAAGAGCUUCUUGCCGUUCAGCAGAUUCUGCAAGCCUUUGGGCAUGCCACGAGGCUACACGUAAAUUUCUCCAAGAGCAAGGCCAUUCCGAUCCGCCCCGAGCUUUUCGAUGUGGAGAAUGUCAUACAACCGCUCGGGGCCGCGCGCGCCGCCCUGCCAUGUUGUUUCUUGGGCCUCCCCCUGUCCCUUCGCAAGGUUCGCAAAGCUGAGCUGCAGCCGUUGCUGGACAAGAUCUUGGCCCGUCUCGCCGCAUGGAAAUUCAAGCUUUUCACUGCUGCCGUCCAUCUUGUGCUCCCGAACUCUGUGCUCUCCGUGUUGGCUGUAUAUUGGCUUUCAGUUCAUCAACUACCAGCCUGGGUGAGGCGUCAGAUAGACAAAAUCAGAAGAGCGUGGCUCUGGCGUGGACAGGAGAGUUGCCUUGGAGGGCACUGCAAGGUUGCAUGGGGUAGGAUAUGCAGACCUAAAGAGCUCGGAGGUUUGGGCAUCAUCGACCUUGACCGCUUCGGAAUCGCUCUCAGGCUGAGAUGGCUUUGGUGGGAAAAGACGGCCCCCUACAAACCUUGGAUUGGUCUCCCCGUGUCGUGCAAUGAGGACGACCGCCGUCUGUUUGCGGCUGCCACAACCGUGGUGCUAGGCGAUGGCCGAACGGCCUCCUUUUGGAUGGACAGUUGGCUGCAAGGCCAAGCUCCAUGCCACAUUGCGCCAGAACUGUUUCGCCUCUCGAAACACAAGCAUAGCACCGUGCGGCAGGCACUAAACGGCAACCGUUGGGUGACCAACCUGGGUGGACGAGUCCCAAGUAACCUGCUCGCUGCUUUUGUUUCUCUCUGGGGCAGGAUCAGUGCUGCGACCAUCCUUGAUACAGGCAGGGACAAGUUCACCUGGAAGCUUGAGGCCUCUGGCAGCUACUCGGCCUCGUCGGCAUACCGAUUGCAAUUCAUGGUGUCCACCUCCUCGCCUAUCAUGCACUUGGUCUGGCAUGCCCGGGCGCCGGCCAAGAUUAAGUUUUUCACAUGGCUCCUAUCUGCCGGUCGACUGCUCACGGCGGACCGGCUCAUGGCCAGGGCAUGGCCCAAUUCCUAUUUCUGUCCAUUGUGCUGGCGCAACCUGGAGACCGCUCAACACCUAUUUAGGAAGUGCAUUUGGUCGAGGAACCUCUGGACGGCAGCGGCCAGCCGCUUCCGCGUUCCCACCUUCCUUCCUUCCUUGCUCCUGGAGGUCCACAAACUGCAUGGUGGAGUGGCUGGACGGCCUCAGUGUGGUGCCUCAUGA
rnacentral:rRNA from 1 species